rnacentral:rRNA from 1 species
AGGACGAACGCUGGCGGCGUGCUUAACACAUGCAAGUCGAGCGGAAAGGCCCUUCGGGGUACUCGAGCGGCGAACGGGUGAGUAACACGUGAGUAAUCUGCCCCUAGCUCUGGGAUAGCUCCGGGAAACCGGGAUUAAUACUGGAUACGACCACCUUAGACAUCUUUUGUGGUGGAAAGAAUUUCGGCUAGGGAUGAGCUCGCGGCCUAUCAGCUUGUUGGUGGGGUAACGCCUACCAAGGCGACGACGGGUAGCCGGCCUGAGAGGGCGACCGGCCACACUGGGACUGAGACACGGCCCAGACUCCUACGGGAGGCAGCAGUGGGGAAUAUUGCGCAAUGGGCGAAAGCCUGACGCAGCGACGCCGCGUGGGGGAUGAAGCUUUUCGGAGUGUAAACCCCUUUCGACCCGGACGAAUGACCCGCAAGGGUUUGACGGUACGGGUAUAAGAAGCCCCGGCUAACUACGUGCCAGCAGCCGC